AAUGAACGCUGGCGGCGCGCCUAAUACAUGCAAGUCGAGCGAGAAGACGUAGCAAUACGUUUGUAAAGCGGCGAACGGGUGAGGAAUACAUGGGUAACCUACCCUAGAGUGGGGAAUAACUAGCCGAAAGGUUAGCUAAUACCGCGUACGCUCCUUGGACUUCGGUUCAGGGAGGAAAGCGAUGCCGAGGGUAUCGCGCUCUUGGAUGGGCUCAUGUCCUAUCAGCUUGUUGGGAGGUAACGGCUCACCAAGGCUUCGACGGGUAGCUGGUCUGAGAGGACGAUCAGCCACACUGGCACUGCGACACGGGCCAGACUCCUACGGGAGGCAGCAGUAAGGAAUAUUGCGCAAUGGGCGAAAGCCUGACGCAGCGACGCCGCGUGGGGGAUGAAGGUCUUCGGAUUGUAAACCCCUUUCGGGAGGGAAGAUGGAAUGGGGUAACCCGACUCGGACGGUACCUCCAGAAGCAGCCACGGCUAACUUCGUGCCAGCAGCCGCA
rnacentral:rRNA from 1 species